UACGGAGGGUGCAAGCGUUAUCCGGAUUUACUGGGUUUAAAGGGUGUGUAGGCGGACUUUUAAGUCCGUGGUGAAAUCUCCGGGCUCAACCCGGAAACUGCCAUGGAUACUAUAGGUCUUGAAUAUUGUUGAGGUGGGCGGAACGGGUCAUGUAGCGGUGAAAUGCAUAGAUAUGACCCGGAACACCGAUUGCGAAGGCAAGCCCACUAAGCAAUGAUUGACGCUGAGGCACGAAAGCGUGGGGAUCAAACAGGAGUUAG
rnacentral:rRNA from 1 species